UACGUCACGAUCCACAAGAUCCAAGUAUUAUUGUUUGGCAAUAAUAUUGUUGCCACAUGUGGGCGCUGUUAAGUCGAGUUCGCCGCCAUUAAUGGAUAUUGCACCAUACUUUGCUGCUGUUUUGCUGCCAAGUCAAGUUUUUAAAGUUUCUUUGUGUUGGUAUUAUUGUGAUUUAAUUAUUGCUGUUUAUUGUGUUUAUCUUGUAGAUGACUUAGACAUCUAAAUAAGUUAGUUACUGGAUUUUAUUGGGUUGUUGCCCUUGGUGUUAAGAUAUUGUGCCGUACAUUUGUUACUGUGAAGAAAGUGUACUGAUGUUUCCAGAAUGUAUUAUGCAAUGAUUUUUGGAUUGUGAAGUAUUCUCGUGGAUUCACAAAGUUUUCUUACCCGGUGUCAUAAAUAUUAUCGAAAACCGUCUUCCAUCUUUCAUUUCCAUCUAUUGUGAUGUUUGUGUAUUGCUGAGCAUUUCAUGUUAUGCUAUCAAUUCUUCGAAUUACAAUUUCAUUACAAGUUUUCAACAAUUGGUUGUGUUUGGACAAGGAUUUGGGAGAUGCGUUUUCGAUUUGUUAGUUUUCUCUAUGUGACACCUUGUGCUACCGGGUCACGUUGAAAGGGAGGUUACAUAAAGUUUUCGAUAAUAUAGAAUUAUCGAUAUCACAUGAAUAACACAAUUCUGAACAGAAUCUAAUUAUCGAAUAAAGCAACAACAUAAC